rnacentral:rRNA from 1 species
AUUGAACGCUGGCGGAAUGCUUUACACAUGCAAGUCGGGCGGCAGCGCGGGGGCAACCCUGGCGGCGAGCGGCGAACGGGUGAGUAACACAUCGGAACGUACCCUGUCGUGGGGGGAUAACGAAUCGAAAGAUUCGCUAAUACCGCAUACGACCUGAGGGUGAAAGCGGGGGAUCGCAAGACCUCGCGCGAGAGGAGCGGCCGAUGGCGGAUUAGCUAGUUGGUGGGGUAAAGGCCCACCAAGGCGACGAUCCGUAGCGGGUCCUGAGAGGACGGCCCGCCACACUGGGACUGAGACACGGCCCAGACCUCCUACGGAGGCAGCAGUGGGGAAUUUUGGACAAUGGGGCAACCUGAUCCAGCAUUCCGCGUGAGUG